GACGAACGCUGGCGGCGUGCUUAACACAUGCAAGUCGAACGGAAAGGCCCUGCUUUUGUGGGGUGCUCGAGUGGCGAACGGGUGAGUAACACGUGAGUAACCUGCCCUUGACUUUGGGAUAACUUCAGGAAACUGGGGCUAAUACCGGAUAGGAGCUCCUGCUGCAUGGUGGGGGUUGGAAAGUUUCGGCGGUUGGGGAUGGACUCGCGGCUUAUCAGCUUGUUGGUGGGGUAGUGGCUUACCAAGGCUUUGACGGGUAGCCGGCCUGAGAGGGUGACCGGCCACAUUGGGACUGAGAUACGGCCCAGACUCCUACGGGAGGCAGCAGUGGGGAAUAUUGCACAAUGGGCGGAAGCCUGAUGCAGCAACGCCGCGUGCGGGAUGACGGCCUUCGGGUUGUAAACCGCUUUCGCCUGUGACGAAGCGUGAGUGACGGUAAUGGGUAAAGAAGCACCGGCUAACUACGUGCCAGCAGCCGCGGUGAUACGUAGGGUGCGAGCGUUGUCCGGAUUUAUUGGGCGUAAAGGGCUCGUAGGUGGUUGAUCGCGUCGGAAGUGUAAUCUUGGGGCUUAACCCUGAGCGUGCUUUCGAUACGGGUUGACUUGAGGAAGGUAGGGGAGAAUGGAAUUCCUGGUGGAGCGGUGGAAUGCGCAGAUAUCAGGAGGAACACCAGUGGCGAAGGCGGUUCUCUGGGCCUUUCCUGACGCUGAGGAGCGAAAGCGUGGGGAGCGAACAGGCUUAGAUACCCUAGUAGUCCACGCUGUAAACGGUGGGUACUAGGUGUGGGGUCCAUUCCACGGGUUCCGUGCCGUAGCUAACGCUUUAAGUACCCCGCCUGGGGAGUACGGCCGCAAGGCUAAAACUCAAAGGAAUUGACGGGGCCCCGCACAAGCGGCGGAGCAUGCGGAUUAAUUCGAUGCAACGCGUAGAACCUUACCUGGGUUUGACAUGGAUCGGGAGUGCUCAGAGAUGGGUGUGCCUCUUUUGGGGUCGGUUCACAGGUGGUGCAUGCCUGUCGUCAGCUCGUGUCGUGAGAUGUUGGGUUAAGUCCCGCAACGAGCGCAACCCUUGUUCACUGUUGCCAGCACGUUAUGGUGGGGACUCAGUGGAGACCGCCGGGGUCAACUCGGAGGAAGGUGGGGAUGACGUCAAGUCCUCAUGCCCCUUAUGUCCAGGGCUUCACGCAUGCUACAAUGGCUGGUACAGAGAGUGGCGAGCCUGUGAGGGUGAGCGAAUCUCGGAAAGCCGGUCUCAGUUCGGAUUGGGGUCUGCAACUCGACCUCAUGAAGUCGGAGUCGCUAGUAAUCGCAAAUCAGCAACGCUGCGGUGAAUACGUUCCCGGG
rnacentral:rRNA from 1 species